rnacentral:lncRNA from 1 species
AUGGGGCUGUGGCCAAUGUCUGCAACUCUUUUUAUUCGGAAUUUGGCACCUGACAGCAGCCACUUGUCAUUAAUGAAGUUCUUUACCAUAGUACUAAGAUUUUUAAACAUCUCCCCAAAUCCAAGGUGUCUGGCUUUAUUUCUACUGAUGCUAAAGUCUUCUCUUUCCUUCCCAACCCAUUCUGAGCUUUGUUUAAGCAUUCAUAGUUAUAUUUCAUUUCUUUUUUCUGUCUCCAUAUCAUUUUCCUCUUACCCAGCUCCAAGACUAAGUGAACAGUUCUUUAAAACAAUACAGGAGCAGUAUAGGAUGGUUCAUGUGGUAGAGAAAUCAUUAAAUCCAGGCUUGUGGAUCUGCUCCAAUCCGUUGUUUUUGGAGAGCUGAGGGCUCUUACUGAACCUGCUGAGAAUGACCUAUAUCCUGAAACCACCCCAGAACCGCCAUGAAUGCAGGGACUCCUCUCCUCUUGAGCUCCUAUUCGCUCUCCAAGGUAGUGAGGAAACACAAUUCUGUUGGUGUCAAAUAAUAAUAGUAAGGCCCAGCCCUGCAAGAACCGUGGCUUCCUAAACCAUGGCGAUCCUCUCCCUGAGAGGCAUACGGGGCCUUGGGCACACCCCCCAGGGGCCUGGACUGCACCUGUGGCUCUUUCUCCGUCAGAACCACUACCAGGCUGUCCUACCUCCCUGUUACUGUGUUAGGGGCCCUCCCCUCAGGCCCUGAUGGUACGCAGGCAGUUCACACAGGCCUCCAUUGGGGGCCUCCCUCUUUGCCUCUGCCUGGUCUCCUACCAGUCCUCCACCACCCCGCAGAAUGAUAUUUCUAAGAUAAAAUCUGACCAUGUCCCUUACCUAAACUCCGAAGUGGUUCCACAGAGUUUGGUGUUUUGUUUUCCUUUUACUGAAGUAUGGUUAACAUACAAUGUUAUAUUAGUUGCAGGACUACAACACAGUGAAUGGACAAUUCUAUACAUGACUCCAUGCUCACCAUGGUAAGUGUAGCUACCAUCUGUCACCACACGUUGUUACAAUAUUAUUGACGAUAUCCCCUAUGCUAUACUUUUGACUCAGAUGUCAGGUAGAACAUCUGAGGCCCCUUGUUGGGCCUGGGUGAUGCCUCCGAUCCAAACUGCAAGUCCUGCCCCGGGGCACUGGGUGUUCUGCCACAGAGAGCCCCCGCUGCUCCUGCUCUCACCCCUCCCCAGACUUGCCCGACCCUUGCUGGCCCUCCACGCCUUUGCCUACAACACUCCUCCUCCCUUUCACUCCAACAUUCUUUCCUUCCAGUCCCGGAAGCCUUCUCCCAUACAUCUGUCCUCCUCCCCAGUCCCCAGGAGGGCAAGCAUAGGGGUCCGGCUGUCUGACCCUGCCUGGGAGGGA